rnacentral:rRNA from 1 species
UUGAUCCUGGCUCAGAACGAACGCUGGCGGCGUGCUUAACACAUGCAAGUCGAACGAGAAAGUUAACUUCGGUUAGCGAGUAAAGUGGCGCACGGGUGAGUAACGCGUAGAUAAUCUAUCCAUGUGUCUGGGAUAACCCUUCGAAAGGGGGACUAAUACCGGAUAUAUUCGUACCUAUCGGGGUAUGAAGCAAAGGUGGCCUCUAUUUAUAAGCUAUCGCACGCGGAGGAGUUUGCGUACCAUUAGCUAGUUGGUGGGGUAAUGGCCUACCAAGGCAACGAUGGUUAGCGGGUCUGAGAGGAUGAUCCGUCACACUGGCACUGGAACACGGGCCAGACUCCUACGGGAGGCAGCAGUGAGGAAUAUUGCGCAAUGGGGGCAACCCUGACGCAGCGACGCCGCGUGAGUGAGGAAGGCCUUCGGGUCGUAAAGCUCUGUCAGAAGGGAAGAAGUGCGUGUAGGUUAAUACCCUGUGCGUUUGACGGUACCUUCAAAGGAAGCACCGGCUAACUCCGUGCCAGCAGCCGCGGUAAUACGGAGGGUGCAAGCGUUGUUCGGAAUCACUGGGCGUAAAGGGCGCGUAGGCGGCCUGAUUAGUCAGAUGUGAAAGCCCACAGCUCAACCGUGGAAGUGCAUUUGAAACUGUCAGGCUUGAGUAUCAGAGGGGAAAGUGGAAUUCCCGGUGUAGAGGUGAAAUUCGUAGAUAUCGGGAGGAAUACCGGUGGCGAAGGCGACUUUCUGGCUGAAUACUGACGCUGAGGCGCGAAAGCGUGGGGAGCAAACAGGAUUAGAUACCCUGGUAGUCCACGCCGUAAACGAUGUGAACUAGAUGUUGGAGGUAUCGAUCCCUUCGGUGUCGGAGCUAACGCAUUAAGUUCACCGCCUGGGGAGUACGGUCGCAAGAUUAAAACUCAAAGGAAUUGACGGGGGCCCGCACAAGCGGUGGAGUAUGUGGUUUAAUUCGAUGCAACGCGAAGAACCUUACCUGGUCUUGACAUCCCGGAGAUCUCCUGGAAACAGGAGAGUGCUUUCAUUAGAGAGAAUCCGAUGACAGGUGCUGCAUGGCUGUCGUCAGCUCGUGUCGUGAGAU